rnacentral:sRNA from 1 species
CUUCUUGUGCUUGUUGUGGGCAAAUGAAAUGGAUAUGUGUGUCGAACCCGCCUGCUGUAACGAUGUUAUGCUCGCCAGCAAUCACAUCUGUACAUGAGCCAACGAUCAAAUCAGGGUGAACUCCAUCCAUGACAUCUGGGUUACCUGCCUUGCCUAUACCCACGAUAAUGCCGUCCUUGAUUCCAAUGUCGGCUUUGUAGAUACCAGUCCAGUCAAUGAUGAGGGCGUUUGUGAUGACAGUGUCGAGUGAUCCUUUGUCUGAAACACCUCCUGCCUGUCCCAUGCCUUCUCUUAG